rnacentral:lncRNA from 1 species
CUCUUGAGCUUAAGUUCAACAAAUUUUAACUAGUCAUUAAUCGACUAUUCAAGUAUUACUUUCAGAAUAUAAUACAUAUGGAUUCAACUUUCACACAUAUAGAUUAUAGUAAGCUUUAUAAAAAUCAAUAAAUAAUUCAUUAGCAAAUUUUCAUUAAUGUUUACAAUAUAAUUACAAUUUCCCUAUAAGCUGACUUCCUGAGCAAC